rnacentral:rRNA from 1 species
AUGUACCUAAUGUUCGACCCAACCAUGUCGCUGCACUACCAUGUCCUCUUCUUCCCUGAUGCUCCCGACAGGCCAAAGCCACCAUAUUUUCAACCUGCGGGUGUGUCACAGUUUAUAAGAGCAAAUUACGAGCAUGAGUGUAACACCUUGGGCGUAAUGGAAUGGCCACCGUACAUGUACCCGCUGCAAGUUUUCUCGUCGAAAACCGGCCGGUGGGAGGAGAAACAAUUUGUUCGUCAAGGUGAUGCGGCGGUUACCGUGUCGGAUGUGUGGUCAGAUGGAUCUUCACCAAUUAGCUGCCAAGAUGGGCUUCGACGCCAUGCAGUGUACUGGCGGGCAUCCUUCUAUGUAUAUUGUGACACCGGUUUCAUUAUGAGGUUGUCACUUGAAGACCAAAAAUAUCUAGCGAUCAAAACCCCAAGACUAGAUAUAACAUGGUGCAAGAGACAUCUUAAGACGUACGAGUAUCUCGGAAAAUCCAAGCAUGGUGUCUACUUCACCGCUUUCCAUGGGUACCAACUUAAGGUGUGGGUACUGAGCAACACAUUAGAAUCAUGUCGAACUCCUGAGUGGGAGCUGAAGCAUCAAGCGGACCUUGAGCCUAAUUUAAAGCUACACUAUAACAGACACUUCAGAAGAGAAAAGUAUGAAAAGUGUUGGAUCUUAGAUUCUUGUGAUGAAGAGUCCGAGAGUGAUGAAGAGUUCGAGAAUAGUGGAGACUAUGCAUGGGAUUCUAGUGAUGAUAGCGUCAUUGAUGUUGAAUGA